GACAGGGCACUCAGUGGAACAGGGGUUCUCAACGUGUGUCACCAGAACCAGCAGCGCCACCAUCACCCAGGAACUGGGCCCCUUCUGGACUAUAAACCCGUGAGGCCUUUCCGUCAUGCAAGACUGGAGGCUGUCAUUAUCCGAAGGAACCACCACCACCACCUGCACAGGAAUAAGGGGGAGAGCCCACAGCAGACUGAGCCUGCCCAUCAUCCCAGCGACCCUGCCCCUGGGAUGGCCACAGAACUGGCUGGGGGGUCUAGGUCCCAGGGAGUAGAGAGAUGGGUUGCAGAGAGUCAGGGCGGCCUAGGUCCCUACAUUCCAGAGUGCAGACUUCAUUACCGGGGCAUCGGGGCAUCUGGGUGGUGGUGGGGAGGGGGUGUCCAGCAAGUGGGACCCACACACCAACUCAGUUGUCCUGCUUUAUUUUAAUCUCCCCCACACACCAACUCAGUUGUCCUGCUUUAUUUUAAUCUCCAGCUCUAUUAUCUCAUGACUUCUGUGUUUAUCUGCUUUCUCAUCCCUCUCUCAGACUAGAUUGUGAGCCUGUGAGGACAGCAAGCAGCUCUGCUUUGCUCACGCUGUCCUAGCAUUUAGGGGCGCCCUUGUGAACUCUGCAAACAGUGAGUGUUCAGUCAGCAUUGCUGGUGGAUUGCCCAGAUGAAGCUGCUUUGCCAGCCCCCUCCUCAGAGAUUCUGUGCACACUGGGUCACACCCUUAUUAUGAGCACUAGUGAAGGCUAAGAAUCCUUUACUCAAACAAAACUCGAACCCUUCACAAGCUGGUGCAGACACUUCCCAGGGUGCGCGCGCACGCACACACACACACACACACACACACACCCCAGCCCUAAGCACGCGCGCACACACACACACACACACACACCCCCCAGCCCUAAGUGCACACACACACACACACACACACCCCAGCCCUAAGCUCUGCACAGACCACAAGCUUUGCACCCAUGCCCACUGGCCCUAGAGCAGGAGGAAACUCAAGAGCCUGUUUUCAGCAUCAUCUCUCACCCAUCAGCUUUCAGUCCCUGGCCUGUGUCGUCCAGGGAAGGCCAGAGAAAAUCCCAAGAACCAACACCGGUGAGCACAUGCUGGAUGCCCAGCGCUGACAGCCCGUGGCCUCCACCACCCCUGGGCACAGAGCUGUUACCUGAAACACAGCCUCCCACAGUGAGUUGGGAGCUCUUUCUAAACCACCUUGCUAUUGGUCUCUACAAUCGUCCUGCAUUUAGCCUCCAUUUAGGGCCCGGGUUCUCAACACUCACUAAUCACAGGCUGCCUUUUUGAGGCUGGGUCAAUUGCUGGCAAAACACCAGAAAAAAAUGCACAAAGAAGCAUGGCUUAUCAGAGAAAUUCCCAGGGCCUCUCCUUCUCUCCUCCUACCCCAACCACAGCCAUCCGAGUCUGCAGAGCCCCAAGCGUGUAACCAGAGGUCACACACCUGGGUACAGAAUGGGUGGCAGGGCCCCUUCUUUUUUUGGACACAGCUCGGAAACCCCUCCAUUCCUUAGACUGCUGCUGUGCCUCGCGCCCCCCACUUCUUA
ensembl:lncRNA